AUGAGUAAUGACACCUUUUUAAUUUGCUCCUGGAAUGUACGUGGCCUUGGCGAUGAUGAUAAAUGCGCUGACGUUCUCUCCGAACUAAUGACGACUAAACCACACGUAACCCUCUUGCAAGAAUCAAAACUCGAAAACCUCCCUGCACCUAAACUAAAAUUUCUGCCACGCACGUUGGAUCAAGCUUUCUCGCUGCCAGCCGUCGGAUCCGCUGGUGGCACUAUCUCUGCCCUCAACUCCACCCUCUUCCAAGUCGUCUCUUACUCACACCUAACCUUCUCUUCUACCCUACUCCUACGCACAGCUGUCUGCGCCCAACCCAUUGCUAUCACAAACAUCUACGCUCCAUCAUCAUGAUCACUCAAGCAAGCUUUCUUAAGCGAGCUCUCGUCCAUCUCGCAAUCCAACGACACCCCCAUUAUUGCUGGGGACUUUAACCUCAUCCGCUUCCCGUCUGAGAAAAACAACCCUGCGUUCCACCACGCUGAAGCCACUGCCUUUAACCAAACCUUGGAUGAUCUAGCCCUCAUCGAACUGCCCCUACUCGAUCGCAGGUUCACCUGGUCGAACAAUCGUGCUACUCCCACAUUAGAACGACUAGAUCGGGUUUUCUUUAACCUAGCGUGGGCAGAUGCCUUCCCUAACACCUCCCUGUCCUCUCGCACACGCUUCAUGUCCGAUCAC
rnacentral:rRNA from 1 species